rnacentral:lncRNA from 1 species
GGGGCGAGGGGGAGGGGGGGGACCACCCGGGCAUCUGGUUCACGCUCUUUCUGCUCUGGUUUCAUUUCGCACCAACAGCUUCAGUAACCGACAUCGGUGCAGGUGCUUCCAUUUACCUGUCAGGAAAGGCGGAGGAAAAAGAAGAGGACGAACAGCAGCCGGAGGGAUGGACGUCACAGGGACAGUGGACGCAUCUCUACGGUGCUGAGAAAUGUUGGACAGAACUUUCCGGAAGGACGUUUUCUAUGUGGUCAACAGGAGUUGAUAUCUGUUCAACAACACUCCACAGUUAUCAGCCACCCCUCCCCCCCCCACACACACAUUCCAUAACAGUCAGACACUGUAGCUAUGAUAGCUAUGAUAAAUGUAAAAACUGAUAGAUAGAUAGAUAGAUAGAUAGAUAGAUAGAUAGAUAGAUAGGGACAGAAGUGUUUACAACAGGCAUCAAGUUUGGGCCUCAUCAUGUUCUUCUGUCCCUCACAGCUGCUGAAUCCCUCCCACACCACCAUAAAGUUUGCUGACGAUACCACCAUUGUGGGUCUGAUCACCAACAACGAUGAGACGGCCUACAGAGAGGAGGUGAUGCUCCUGGCAGAGUGGUCCUGGACCUGUCUUUCAAUGUCAGUAAAACUAAGGAGCUGGUGACUGACUUCAGGAAACAGGAUACGGUUCAGGCAC